rnacentral:rRNA from 1 species
GACGAACUCUUGCGGCGUGCUUAACACAUGCAAGUCGAACGGAAAGGCCCUGCUUUUGUGGGGUGCUCGAGUGGCGAACGGGUGAGUAACACGUGAGUAACCUGCCCUUGACUUUGGGAUAACUUCAGGAAACUGGGGCUAAUACCGGAUAGGAGCUCCUGCUGCAUGGUGGGGGUUGGAAAGUUUCGGCGGUUGGGGAUGGACUCGCGGCUUAUCAGCUUGUUGGUGGGGUAGUGGCUUACCAAGGCUUUGACGGGUAGCCGGCCUGAGAGGGUGACCGGCCACAUUGGGACUGAGAUACGGCCCAGACUCCUACGGGAGGCAGCAGUGGGGAAUAUUGCACAAUGGGCGGAAGCCUGAUGCAGCAACGCCGCGUGCGGGAUGACGGCCUUCGGGUUGUAAACCGCUUUCGCCUGUGACGAAGCGUGAGUGACGGUAAUGGGUAAAGAAGCACCGGCUAACUACGUGCCAGCAGCCGCGGUGAUACGUAGGGUGCGAGCGUUGUCCGGAUUUAUUGGGCGUAAAGGGCUCGUAGGUGGUUGAUCGCGUCGGAAGUGUAAUCUUGGGGCUUAACCCUGAGCGUGCUUUCGAUACGGGUUGACUUGAGGAAGGUAGGGGAGAAUGGAAUCCCUGGUGGAGCGGUGGAAUGCGCAGAUAUCAGGAGGAACACCAGUGGCGAAGGCGGUUCUCUGGGCCUUUCCUGACGCUGAGGAGCGAAAGCGUGGGGAGCGAACAGGCUUAGAUACCCUGGUAGUCCACGCUGUAAACGGUGGGUACUAGGUGUGGGGUCCAUUCCACGGGUUCCGUGCCGUAGCUAACGCUUUAAGUACCCCGCCUGGGGAGUACGGCCGCAAGGCUAAAACUCAAAGGAAUUGACGGGGCCCCGCACAAGCGGCGGAGCAUGCGGAUUAAUUCGAUGCAACGCGUAGAACCUUACCUGGGUUUGACAUGGAUCGGGAGUGCUCAGAGAUGGGUGUGCCUCUUUUGGGGUCGGUUCACAGGUGGUGCAUGGCUGUCGUCAGCUCGUGUCGUGAGAUGUUGGGUUAAGUCCCGCAACGAGCGCAACCCUUGUUCACUGUUGCCAGCACGUUAUGGUGGGGACUCAGUGGAGACCGCCGGGGUCAACUCGGAGGAAGGUGGGGAUGACGUCAAGUCAUCAUGCCCCUUAUGUCCAGGGCUUCACGCAUGCUACAAUGGCUGGUACAGAGAGUGGCGAGCCUGUGAGGGUGAGCGAAUCUCGGAAAGCCGGUCUCAGUUCGGAUUGGGGUCUGCAACUCGACCUCAUGAAGUCGGAGUCGCUAGUAAUCGCAGAUCAGCAACGCUGCGGUGAAUACGUUCCCGGGGC